rnacentral:rRNA from 1 species
AGCUCCAAUAGCGUAUAUUAAAGUUGCUGCGUUUAAAAAGCUCGUAGUUGGAUCUCAGUCUCGAUCGGUCGGUCCAUCCUCUGGGUGGUUACUGGCUCAAUCGGACGUUGUUGGCCACGUUUCCGAGCAUGCUCUUCAUUGAGUGUGUUCCGGAGAGUGGAGCGUUUACUUUGAAAAAAUUAGAGUGCUCAAAGCAGGCGUCGUGCCUGGAUAGUCGUGCAUGGAAUGAUGGAAUAGGGCCUCGGUUCUAUUUUGUUGGUUUCCGGAACUCGAGGUAAUGAUUAAUAGGGACGGACGGGGGCAUUUGUAUUGCGACGUUAGAGGUGAAAUUCUUAGAUCGUCGCAAGACAAACUACUGCGAAAGCAUUUGCCAAGAAUGUUUUCAUUAAUCAAGAACGAA